UACGUAGGGUGCGAGCGUUGUCCGGAAUUAUUGGGCGUAAAGGGCUCGUAGGCGGUUUGUCGCGUCGGGAGUGAAAUCCACUGGCUUAACUGGUGGCUUGCUUUCGAUACGGGCAGACUGGAGGUAUGCAGGGGAGAACGGAAUUCCUGGUGUAGCGGUGAAAUGCGCAGAUAUCAGGAGGAACACCGGUGCGAAGGCGGUUCUCUGGCAUGUCCUGACGCUGAGGAGCAAAGCAUGGGAGCGAACAGG
rnacentral:rRNA from 1 species